rnacentral:lncRNA from 1 species
CGUGACCGCCACCUCACAACUAGACCAACCGCAUCACUACCAAAAUCGCAGCCAUCAGAACCACCACUGCACCCUAAUCCAACCCUAGCAAGCAAUAAUUGAAAUUACUAAUUAAAUACAAUAAUCAUAGAGACUGUAAUUUCAGUUUCUAUGAGCACCACUGCCACUUCAGUAGCCACGAUCACCAUCACCAUAUCCAUCACGACCAUCGUCUCCAUAGCCACGGUCACGUCCACCUCCAUAGCCCCAGUCAUCGCCAUAACCUCCAUCACGUCGCCCAUAGCCUCCAUCACCGCCUCAACCCCCAUAACUUCACUCGGGACGUCCGCCAUGGAAUCCACCAUUGCCGCCGGACUGAGCCUCGUUUACGUGAUUUUACGACCAUCAAGGUCUUGGCCAUUUAUCCCCUCAAUUUGCAGCACCCCAGAUCUACUGCGUUGCGCACGAGUACACUAUAUAUUUUUUCGUUUUCUUCCUCCACUGCCAUGGUAUCUGGUAGUUGCUAGAGAGAGAACGAGAGAAUGUAGAGGAUAGAGAGAGAGGAUUUUAGGGCUUGGGAGUGAAGUUGAGUGGUUGUGGGCGUG